rnacentral:tRNA from 1 species
CGGGCGUAGUUCAAUGGUAGACCCUCAGCCUUCCAAGCUGAUGGUGCGGGUUCGAUUCCCGCCGCCCG